GCCAGGAGGGAUGGUGCACACCUGUAAUCCCAAUGACUCAGAGGCUGAGAUAGGGGGGUUGCAAGUUUGAGGCCAGCCUUGGCCACUUUGAGGCCCUAAGCAACUUAGCAAGACCCUGUCUCAA
rnacentral:sRNA from 1 species